rnacentral:lncRNA from 1 species
AGGCCUUUCCAGGGGACUCUCCACUAGCAAUUGACAUGUCAACUGCAGUACUUAAACUAUCAGAGAAGGGUGAUCUUCAGAAGAUUCAUGACAAGUGGCUGAUGAAAAGUGCUUGCAGUGCAGAAGGAGCAAAGCAAGCUGUAGAUCGCCUUCAGAUAAAGAGCUUUUCGGGACUUUUUCUGCUGAGUGGCAUAGCUUGCUUUCUUGCUCUUGUUCUUCAUGUUAUUCGCAUGAUGCACAAAUACUACAAGCGGCCUGAUUCUGACUGUGAGAGCUCACAAUCUAGACGGCUUCAAUCUUUCGUUUCGUUUGUAAAUAAAAGGGAGCAAGAAGCGGAAAGCAGACCCAAGAGAAUGAGGACUGAGAAGGCCUCAAGUAAAAUAGUGCAUGAAGAUAGUACCAUCAAUGGUUUGGAUGAAAGCGUCUAAACUAUGAGAUAAUGAAAAAAAGUGAAAAAUAAGUGAGUGAUUUGUAGCUCAAAUGAUUAUAUCCAUGCAUAAUAGGUCUUUAGAUUCGAUUUUUCAUUCUCUAAUAUUACUUGUAUAAAAAUAAAAAAAUUAAAAAGAGUUGAUCCCCGUAAAUUGGGGUCGAAGCCUGCCAAAAAAGCCCAACAGCUUGGCCCGUACUCUCAAUAUGGGCUAAAAUAAGGUUUGAGCCUGGCUAAAAUAGUUGUACACUAGACCAGACAUUUUACUUUAGAC